rnacentral:lncRNA from 1 species
GCUCCGGCCUCGGCCGCACCCCCGCCGGCUCGCCGCCGCCGCCUCCCCACAGCGGACUAGUCUGCGAGGGCGGCGACCAGCCCGGCUUAUUUAAAAGGGGUGGGGACCCGACAAGCGCUGGGAGACGCAGCCACUGCGGGCCGAGAGCGCGGCCGGAGCUCCUCCUCCUUCCGUCGCCGCCUCCGGACUGAAGGCCGCUAGCCGGCUCCUGCCAACCGGAACGCGCUCCGCGGUCACCUGGUGACGGGUAGCCAAUCAGACCUGGAUUUCCCUCCACGCACCCGCCUACGGCCCAGGCACGUGACUCACAAAGCCCCUCCCCGUCCCUCAAGCUGAGCCGCGCGGACUCUGAUUUCCAUUCAUCGCGAGCUGAGCGGAGUUGGGCUCCAGCUUGGCAGCUGCGGCAGUUUGUUACUCGAGGCCGCGCUUCAAGGCGGGCCCCGAAGGCCCAGCCUGGUGGAGAGUUGAUUUUAUCAGCAGUGUGGUUUCUCCAUGUUUGACAGCUUCCCUUUGCUCACCCAAUGUGUAUCCAGCAAUCCAUGCUCCCAGUACAUUCAGGCAAAUGAGAAGCAAAGAUUUGGAGAAUCUAGCUGUAUAAGUUCACACUGCGGAUCUUGAGCAUUUACUUAAGCACUGAUGACAGAGAAUGAACACUACAUUACAACGUGGGAAACCACAGUGGAAGGAAAGUGUAGUUAAGUCCUCAAGACUCGAUGACUGCAUUCUAAGGCACCUGCCAGAACCAUGUGAUAGUCUGGACGUUUCCUGGCCUCCUUGUAAAGAAGAUAAAGGGACACCCACACCCUUGGAUGUGUUUCUGAGUGUUGUCCUGAUCUUUCCAAACAUUUCAUCAGAAGACCCAGAUAGUAGUGUGGGCCAAAGAACAGAGCCAGCCUUUGUGCUGAGGAUCCCAUCACCACCCAUUGCUGAAGAAGAAUCAGGCCCCAGGACGGUAUGGAAAACACACCUGACACUACAAAUCUAGACUGUGAAACUGGCUCUCACCACAUGCCGUCUUCUCACCCUUCUCCACUGAAAAAGAAAAGGGAAAUGUAUGAUAACCAAUUAGAAGAGGACAGGGAAUCCUCUAUUAAAGCUUAAUAGUAAUUACUAUAUUUAGCUUCUUACAGAACUAAAAAAUACAUAUUAUUGUAAAGAUGUUAAGAACUGCACAUAAAGAUGAAAAUAAAACCAGACCCCAUCCCAGGAUACCCCUGCUUUUUUAGCAUUUUAUGGCAUACUUCCCUAAACUUUAAUAAAAUGUUUCAGUGAUUUAAAAGUGAAACAGUGCUACCUAUAUAGUUUCUCUGUCUU